GUGUCAGCAGCCGCGGUAAUACGUAGGGCGCAAGCGUUAUCCGGAAUUAUUGGGCGUAAAGAGCUCGUAGGCGGUUUGUCGCGUCUGCCGUGAAAGUCCGGGGCUCAACUCCGGAUCUGCGGUGGGUACGGGCAGACUAGAGUGAUGUAGGGGAGACUGGAAUUCCUGGUGUAGCGGUGAAAUGCGCAGAUAUCAGGAGGAACACCGAUGGCGAAGGCAGGUCUCUGGGCAUUAACUGACGCUGAGGAGCGAAAGCAUGGGGAGCGAACAGGAUUAGAUACCCUGGUAGUCCAUGCCGUAAACGUUGGGCACUAGGUGUGGGGGACAUUCCACGUUUUCCGCGCCGUAGCUAACGCAUUAAGUGCCCCGCCUGGGGAGUACGGCCGCAAGGCUAAA
rnacentral:rRNA from 1 species